rnacentral:rRNA from 1 species
AGUGAACGCUGGCGGUAGGCCUAACACAUGCAAGUCGAACGGCAGCACAGUAAGAGCUUGCUCUUACGGGUGGCGAGUGGCGGACGGGUGAGGAAUACAUCGGAAUCUACUUUUUCGUGGGGGAUAACGUAGGGAAACUUACGCUAAUACCGCAUACGACCUACGGGUGAAAGCAGGGGAUCUUCGGACCUUGCGCGAUUGAAUGAGCCGAUGUCGGAUUAGCUAGUUGGCGGGGUAAAGGCCCACCAAGGCGACGAUCCGUAGAUGGUCUGCGAGGAUGAACAGCCACACUGGAACAGAGACACGGUCCAGACUCCUACGGGAGGCAGCAGUGGGGAAUAUUGGACAAUGGGCGCAAGCCUGAUCCAGCCAUACCGCGUGGGUGAAGAAGGCCUUCGGGUUGUAAAGCCCUUUUGUUGGGAAAGAAAAGCAGCAGGUUAAUACCCCGCUGUUCUGACGGUACCCAAAGAAUAAGCACCGGCUAACUUCGUG